GGGUAGGUGUCUCAGUGGUAGAGUGCUUGCCUUGCAUGCAUGAGGCCCUGGGUUCGAUUCCUCAGCACACAUA
rfam:Dipodomys ordii contig_34355, whole genome shotgun sequence.